CGCCUCCCCUCCCCCGCCCCGGCCCCUUCCCCGCCGCGCCGCCGCCCCGCGGCGGGAGCCCCCUGACGGCCCCGCCGCAGAGGCAGCGCGCCGUGGGCGAGGCGGCCGCAAACGGCUCGGCAGCGAGCCGCGACCCGCAGACUGGACAUUGGUAAUCAGAUUGAUGAUAUGCAUCAGGGUCUGCCUGCAAAGGAAAGGUAUUCUGGAAAGUAUAGCAGACUCCACCCAACAUAAUGAACAGACAGUUUACAGAAAAGCCAGGCUCAAAAGAGAAGUAAAAUGAGGAACUCUACCAUCAAAAUUACAGAAGUUAACUAACUAAGUAAAUGCACAGUGUUAAAAUUUAUCAUCCUGAUUCUAGGAACUAAGUGAUAUGACCGCAGCCUACAAAAAUAGCACCAGAAGGAGUCACAUGGAGUGAUGUAAUGUGAACAUGGAAUAAAUCCUUGGGUUUUUU